rnacentral:rRNA from 1 species
GUAGUCAUAUGCUUGUCUCAAAGAUUAAGCCAUGCAUGUCUAAGCACAAACCUUUACACGGUGAAGCUGCGAAUGGCUCAUUAGGCCACCCAUGAUUUAUUAGAUUGUACAAUCCUACUUGGAUAACUGUGGUAAUUCUAGAGCUAAUACAUGCGAGCAAGCUCCGACCCCUCGUGGAAAAGAGCGCGUUUAUUAGAUCAAAACCAAUCGGGCUUUCGGGUCCGUACGUUUGGUGACUCUGGAUAACUUUGCUGAUCGCAUGGUCUCGUACCGGCGACGUAUCUUUCAAGUGUGUGCCCUAUCAACUUUCGAUGGUACGCGAUAUGCCUACCAUGGUUGCAACGGGUAACGGGGAAU